rfam:Armatimonadetes bacterium 13_1_40CM_3_65_7 13_1_40cm_3_scaffold_314224, whole genome shotgun sequence.
CUCGAUAAAGGCAAACCCGUCGUGAGGCGGGGACGCAAAGCCACGGGGCUCUACCCAGUAGAGUUAGCCGGGUUGCCGAAG